rnacentral:tRNA from 1 species
GUGCUGGUGGUGUAAGGCGAACAUCGCUGCCCGGAAAGCAGAAGAUGCGGGUUCGAGGCCCGCCUGGCGCA